rnacentral:lncRNA from 1 species
GCUUUAUAUUUUUUAUGUAUAAAAUAAUAGAAAUGAAACAAAAGAAGGGGAUUUCAGCUUAUGGGAAACAAUCUUUUUCAGUUUUUAUUACAUACAUGAUGAGUCCGUGAAGCUGAAACCAAUCUAAGGUUCCAAAUAACAAUUACAAUAUUCUUCAAAUUUAUCAGAGGCAAAAAGUGAACAGGGCUGGCUCCGUUCAUCCAUUUUAUAUCUUCUUCCAUUUAUCCUCCUCCAUCUUCCAAAACAGGUGCUACGCCUCCAUAACCAUAUCCAAUUUAUAUGUUCAAACCCUUCAUGUAAAUCAACAAGGCCCCCAAUUUCUCUAUAACGUGUAUCAAGUAUUCACUUUAUAAGGUGUUCUAGCUUAUUUUUGCUGUGGAGGAGCUUUACACAAUAUUAUCAAUCCUUCUUAUCCCGCCUUCAUACACAACCAUAAUUCUAAUUUCUUCUCCCAUGUCCAAUCCCACCAUUCUUUUUUUUUUUUUUCAAAAAUUCACCAUAGAGUAAUUGAGGUAGUAAGC